UUCAACUGUUAACCAAUGAAAUCUCUUCAAAUUAUGGCGUCACAAGAACAUCAAGUUUAACGGAAAAAUUAUGUUAAUGCAAAAUGAAAUGAAUAAUUCGUGUCAAAAAUUAACCUUAAGUGUUAAUUGAACCCUUUUUUUCCGUCUCUGAUCAUUUUCUGUGACGCUUAAUGCAUCAAAGUUUCCCCUUGUGAAAGAUAACCAUUAAAUCUUUGAGGUUAAUUAGUGUUAACAUCAUUUUUUUACCCAAAAAGCUGUUUUGUUUGAACUUAUUAUACAACUCGUCUGGAUUUAUGCUGAUACUGUUUAGUUGAUGUUUAAUUAAUCAAGACAAUAUUCUUGAUAAUCACAGGAUAUAAUUGGAUUUUUUUCACAGCAAAAAUUAUCCAUCGUUGCUUGUUCAGUAAAGAUUUUUAUCAACCGUGUUUGCAGAUUUUCAAUGUCUAUUGUCACGCAAUGGUCAGAAGAUAAUAAAUUGCCUGUUGUUCAAUAUGAGUUUGAAUCUCCAGUAUUAAUUAUCCUUUCAAUUUGUUAAACAGAAGAUUGUUCAUAUCACUAAAGGACACUGAAUCAUCACUUUUUGCUUCAUGACAAAAGUCCCUGUCUUUUCUCAACGUUUUAACUCACUAACAAUAUCAACAUAGUGGAACCUCAUCAUUAUAAUCAGCUUUGUCUGAUUUUUCUAAGGAUUCUUUCCUUUAUCUUUGUCUCCUGAUUGCUGAUAAUGACAGUUUUAUACAUAAAGUCUAAAAUGAUCAAUCCUCAUUGAGGAUGGAUUCGCUUUCAACUCAUCAUCAUUAUCACUGCUGUUACCCUCUAACUUCUUCCUGUCACCCCAUGGACCAAAUGUGGAAAAAGGAUUUCAAUGGUUUAUCAUGCAAAUGUCUCCUUUUGUUCCCAGAAUUGACAUGAUAUCAAGGUCGAUGAUCAGAACUACAGUUUACCAUUUAACACAGGAGUCGACAUGGCAUCUCAAGAAAAGACCUAAACAAUAAAAGAUAUAAGAACCUGAAAAGACCAUGAUCAAGUGAGAACAACAAAAAUCUUUUUUUGUGUUACGGUGAACUUAUCAAAAUCUCUUCAACGUCCAUUAACAAUAUUGCCAGAGAUAAAAAGGGUUGUUGGUUACUGUUUAGGAUCCAUGGAGAAAUGGAAGUAAAAAAUCACCCAAAAAGUAGGAUGGAAAGAAGAAGAAGAAAAAAAUGAAGACAGACAACUGAAAAAAAAGGAAGAUGAAAAAGUUCGUUUUUUUGUUUCCUGUUCAUGUGCUGUGAGUUAUAUUGUUGUUGUUGGGAUCAUUUUUGCUGAUGGUAAACUCUUGUAUACAAUUUACUUUUAUGGUGAUUAACCGUACAACAAUGUAUUUUCACCAACAAACAAACAACCAAGCAACAACAUGAAAAGAGGAGCAAUUUGAUACUGAUGUCUUUUUUUAUACUUUUGGGUGAACAUGAGUUCGGAGAAAAGCAAAUCUCAUGCCUAUCAGUUUGUUCAAGUCAAUCUUUCAUAAUCAAGUAACCAGUUUACGAUCAUUGUCCAUUGGUAACAAAACAACAUCAUUUCAUCAUUUAAUUUAAUGGUUUUUUACUACCAUCAACAGCCAGCACUCUUGGUUAUUCAAUGAUUGUCAAAAAAAAGGAAGAAGAAGAAUGAUCCUGAAUACACAUUUGUUAUAUAAAUCUGAUCAAUCUAACCAGAAUGGCAACAAUUUUCGUUUCAACACUGAUCUUGGAUUGGCAUUUCUCAAUUAUUGAUGAUGCUUGAACAAACUCAAUCAGUUAUUCAACCAGCAUGACAAAGAUUGCAAGUUAAAUUAUUGGAUUUGGAGGAUACACCAAGGAAGAAAGAUGCUGAUAGGAUAUAAUAGCUGGACAUUUAGGAAAGCCAUGCAUUUAAAUCUGAUUAGUUGAUGGAAGCAAAUAUUCAACUUUAGCCUUUAACAAGAUGGUGAAGGAAGGAAAGUUGUAAGCAAAGAAAAAUGACUCGUUAUUAAUUAAUGAUCAAUCAUUUGAUGUGAAAUUUGAGCUUUUACAGGAAUAUAAAAGUUCACAGCUAAAUAUUGGAACAAGGCAAGAAAAUGUCUCAACCAAAGGUGUAAAUAUUUUCAUUCUCAACCUUUUUCCCCCUUAAUUGAUAAAGACAAGGUGAAGGAACGAUAUUUAUAUUUAUAUAUUUAUUUAUGGGUUCCCGUUUCAUGUCAAGUUGAGUAAAUGAAAUGCUAGGGGAGCAAAAUCAGGUUAAGACCAAGAAAAUCAUGUACACACACAUAUAUACAUAAUAGUUGUAUUAUAAUGUAAUAGUGUUUGCUUUGCAAGUUUUACGUAACAAGUAUUCAGUAAAGUAAAGAAUGGAUAAGCAAGAUGAUGAGGAAGAAAAUUUGCACCAAAAUUUGAUUCCUUAAGUAAGGUAGGGAAGAGGAAAGAUUGGAUAAAAAUUGGAUUCUCUUUUAAAAAAAGUCAUGUUGAAGGAAUUUUCUUAUUUUACCUUUUUACCAUUGUGAUGUAUUAAAAGCAGGAUCAAUGUAAAGGUUGAACAUGAAUGUAGUUAGAUUGAUGGUCUCAAUGAAAGGUUGAUUGAAUGAACGAUUGUAAAUCUAAACCUAAUAUCUAACAAUGAUUAAGAGGGUUCUCUUUAUCAUCAUCUUAAGCUUCACUGACUGAAUAUUCAAUCAAUAAUAUUGUUACUUGCAUUGAAUGUUUAUGAGCUAGAAGUACAUAAAAAAGCUAACAAUAAUAACCAUUAUGAUAUAAAUAUUAAUGCAAAGUAUAAACAAUUUAAACAAAGUUAUCAACUUUCGCUUGAAUUGACAAUGAAAAAGGAGUUGAAUGAAAGUAAAAUGAAUCAAAAAUACAAUCCUCAUUCAUUCAGGCUAAUUAAACAUUAAGAAUCGAGAAAUCUCGAGAAGUAAAUAAAGAAAGAUUAAAUGAGUGAAAUAUUAAUGAUCAUCUUAAUUAACCUGGUAAAACAAACCAACAGAAAUUUCAAGACUAUUUUCCUAUUGCAAAUUUCAAUCUAUUGAUCCGGUGUACAAGAUUUUUGACAGAUUCAGGACAAACAAUCAAUGUUUCAGUAUAAAUGCAAGAUUCAAAAUGUAUUCAGGAAAAAAUACCAACUUGGAAAAGAUGUAAGGAUAGAAUCAAGGAAAAAUAGGAAACCAAUGUAAUGCAAUAAGUUGAAAGUGGAAACUGGAAAUUCAACUAACAAUAUCAUCUGAAGACAACAUGAUUUAUCUACUUUCUUGAAGCUUAAUUUUAAAACGGAAGUUAUUUGCUCUACUUUUUGGACUUACACUUUGUUGCCAACAUUUUGAAUGUCACAAAGAACCAUCAUGAACACCAUCAACAUCACCAUUAAACUGGUAAUGUCAACAAUCACAAUGUUACCAUCAUUUGUUUUCCAUUUGGUUUCCAAGAAAAUUACUUGAACAAAUUUUCGCCAACCCAAAUGUUAAGGUAACCCAAGACACAAGGACAGCAAAAGGUAGCCAUAACGUUGGAAAAGCAACUUGCAGAAGGAAAGGAGAAAAAUGUAAACAAAGUUAUUCAAAGUUAUCCAAUAAAAGCACAACGGUCAAUUAGACUCAAGGGAUUUUCCCUCCCAGGCUCAAUUACAAAGGACAUUUUCCGAUAUUUUGGCGAUACAAUGGUGAGAGUUGAUGAAAAACUGAUAUUUCAAUCAAAUGGAUGGUAAUUUUAAGUGGUAAUGAUGGUUAAAACAAAAGCUGGUUAACAAAUUGUUGAUGACGAUUGAAACCUGUCACGCAAUAUGCUGGUUAAUAAUGAUAUUUGGUUAUCGUUAUCAUCAUAAUGAUCAUCAUUUAGAAGUCCCAGUUUUUUCAUCAAAAUAACGAUUGUUCAAAGACUCAUUGGGACAAAGUUUACAAUUACAAGACAAAACCAAAAAUGUGUAUUCCCAACAAUUGAUCAUCAUCAUCAUCAUCUUUAUCAUCGUGUCAUUUCAUUCAAUCUAUUUUCCCUGUAAUCAUCCAUCUCGAUCGAUCAUUCUGAUGAUUUGUUUAUAUCAGUUGAAAUGGACAGUCAAUAAAUCAUGAUCAUUUCUAGAUGAAUAUUUGAAAGCGAGAAACACAAGCAAAAACAAUGUUGGACAUUUACAUUCAUUGGGUGUGAAACCUAAUUUGGUAAAUCCUGAUUACAAUCAUCAUGAAACCAGUUUUUUUGAUGACAACUGCUUAUAGUUUAUUGCUGUGGACGUUAUUUGGGUUCAACCUUUACCCAUCUCUAUAGUGGACUGUAAUUGAAAAUCAACAUCACCAGCAAUCCAUUUACUGUACUUUUUAUUGCAUCCAAAUCAAUGGCUGAUCAUUGACUAUUGACAAUUACCAAAGACUAUUUACAGAAUCAACUCUAGUAAUUGUUGCACAUGGUAACGAGCAAUUUAUAGCUGAAAAAAAGAAAUCAGUUUGACCAGCUCUUAAUGUCCAAAUCAAAGGUUGCUUCAAUGUAAAUGUCCAAUGUCAGCUAAUGUUAAAUUUACUAUCAUUAUCAGCCAAUCCGAUUUGUAAAUCACUCCUUUGCUUAAUCAGUAAAUGGU